rnacentral:rRNA from 1 species
CACGUAGGCGGAUUGGAAAGUCGGUUGUGAAAGCCCGGAGCUCAACUCCGGAACUGCUUCCGAAACUUCCAGUCUGGAGGGUGAGAGGGGAGAGUGGAACUUCUGGUGGAGCGGUGAAAUGCGUAGAGAUCAGAAGGAACACCGGUGGCGAAAGCGACUCUCUGGCUCAUUUCUGACGCUGAGGUGCGAAAGCUUGGGUAGCGAACG